rnacentral:rRNA from 1 species
UACGGAAGGCAGCAGUGGGGAAUAUUGCACAAUGGGCGCAAGCCUGAUGCAGCCAUGCCGCGUGUAUGAAGAAGGCCUUCGGGUUGUAAAGUACUUUCAGUCGUGAGGAAGGUGUUAAGGUUAAUAACCUUAGCAAUUGACGUUAGCGACAGAAGAAGCACCGGCUAACUCCGUGCCAGCAGCCGCGGUAAUACGGAGGGUGCGAGCGUUAAUCGGAAUUACUGGGCGUAAAGGGCACGCAGGCGGUUAAUUAAGUUGGAUGUGAAAUCCCCAGGCUUAACCUGGGAAUGGCAUUCAAGACUGGUUAGCUAGAGUCUUGUAGAGGGGGUAGAAUUCCAUGUGUAGCGGUGAAAUGCGUAGAGAUGUGGAGGAAUACCGGUGGCGAAGGCGGCCCCCGGACAAAGGACUGACGCUCAUGUGCGAAAGCGUGGGGAGCAAAC